rnacentral:tRNA from 1 species
CUCCCUUAGCUCAGUGGUUAGAGCAUCUGACUGUUAAUCAGAGGGUCGAUGGUUCAAGUCCAUCAGGAGAGCA